rnacentral:rRNA from 1 species
UUGAACGCUGGCGGCAGGCCUAACACAUGCAAGUCGAGCGGUAGCACAGAGAGCUUGCUCUCGGGUGACGAGCGGCGGACGGGUGAGUAAUGUCUGGGAAACUGCCUGAUGGAGGGGGAUAACUACUGGAAACGGUAGCUAAUACCGCAUAAUGUCGCAAGACCAAAGUGGGGGACCUUCGGGCCUCAUGCCAUCAGAUGUGCCCAGAUGGGAUUAGCUAGUAGGUGGGGUAACGGCUCACCUAGGCGACGAUCCCUAGCUGGUCUGAGAGGAUGACCAGCCACACUGGAACUGAGACACGGUCCAGACUCCUACGGGAGGCAGCAGUGGGGAAUAUUGCACAAUGGGCGCAAGCCUGAUGCAGCCAUGCCGCGUGUGUGAAGAAGGCCUUCGGGUUGUAAAGCACUUUCAGCGGGGAGGAAGGCGUUAAGGUUAAUAACCUUGGCGAUUGACGUUACCCGCAGAAGAAGCACCGGCUAACUCCGUGCCAGCAGCCGCGGUAAUACGGAGGGUGCAAGCGUUAAUCGGAAUUACUGGGCGUAAAGCGCACGCAGGCGGUCUGUCAAGUCGGAUGUGAAAUCCCCGGGCUCAACCUGGGAACUGCAUUCGAAACUGGCAGGCUAGAGUCUUGUAGAGGGGGGUAGAAUUCCAGGUGUAGCGGUGAAAUGCGUAGAGAUCUGGAGGAAUACCGGUGGCGAAGGCGGCCCCCUGGACAAAGACUGACGCUCAGGUGCGAAAGCGUGGGGAGCAAACAGGAUUAGAUACCCUGGUAGUCCACGCCGUAAACGAUGUCGAUUUGGAGGUUGUGCCCUUGAGGCGUGGCUUCCGGAGCUAACGCGUUAAAUCGACCGCCUGGGGAGUACGGCCGCAAGGUUAAAACUCAAAUGAAUUGACGGGGGCCCGCACAAGCGGUGGAGCAUGUGGUUUAAUUCGAUGCAACGCGAAGAACCUUACCUGGUCUUGACAUCCACAGAACUUUCCAGAGAUGGAUUGGUGCCUUCGGGAACUGUGAGACAGGUGCUGCAUGGCUGUCGUCAGCUCGUGUUGUGAAAUGUUGGGUUAAGUCCCGCAACGAGCGCAACCCUUAUCCUUUGUUGCCAGCGGUUCGGCCGGGAACUCAAAGGAGACUGCCAGUGAUAAACUGGAGGAAGGUGGGGAUGACGUCAAGUCAUCAUGGCCCUUACGACCAGGGCUACACACGUGCUACAAUGGCAUAUACAAAGAGAAGUGACCUCGCGAGAGCAAGCGGACCUCAUAAAGUAUGUCGUAGUCCGGAUUGGAGUCUGCAACUCGACUCCAUGAAGUCGGAAUCGCUAGUAAUCGUAGAUCAGAAUGCUACGGUGAAUACGUUCCCGGGCCUUGUACACACCGCCCGUCACACCAUGGGAGUGGGUUGCAAAAGAAGUAGGUAGCUUAACCUUCGGGAGGGCGCUUACCACUUUGUGAUUCAUGACUGGGGUG